rnacentral:misc_RNA from 1 species
GAUGAAGAACGUAGCGAAAUGCGAUAAGUAGUGUGAAUUGCAGAAGUACCGUGAAUCAUCGAAUCUUUGAACGCAAAUUGCACUCUCUGGUAUUCCGGGGAGUAUGCCUGUUUGAGGGUCGCUUAACAAACCAUCGAUUUCGUUGCUUUUUUUUUUAAAGUGAUGUUUAUCGGAUUUGAGCCGUCUUUUUUUUUAUUUUUAAGUGGCUUAAAAUUGAUUUUUUUGGUACGAUCGAAGCGUAUUUUUAUGAUCAAUUUUUGGUUAAAGAAACGCACACGUACCGUUAUUUAUAUGAUGUAAUACGUUUGACUAUUGGAUUUAGUUCAUUCGUAUACGAUAUCUUUCAAUAUUUGACCUCAAAUCAGGUAAGAACACCCGCUGAACUUAAGCAUAUCAAUAAGCGGAGGA